GCUUCCUUCCUCCCUCCUCCACACAGACUGGCCAUUGUGUGCGGCCCACCGAUGGGAUUUGCAUGCGUCUUAGACUGGAUUACACAUGCAGCCUCUGGGAACCUGGACCCCUACGGUCUCCCUUCGCUGUUCGAUGGGCUGGCAGCGGGCGGCCUUUCGGGUGCUGGACUCAUAACCUUGAAACUUUGGUGUGUGACUUGAGGAUCCACAGGCAGGAAGUGAAGACCGGUAUGAGAUGGAAGAAAUUUGUGGCUCUGACAAAUCACCGGCUGGCCGAGGCUGCGCAUUUUCUUUUCUUUAAUCCAAACUGUAUAUAAAACCCUUAUCUACUGACGGUAAGAUAGUAAUGAUUCAUAACUUCUUUACAGAAACUAUUUGAGACAAUCCAAGCUUCCUCUUUUUGUAAUUAUCUGACCCAUUCUUUCCA